rnacentral:rRNA from 1 species
CUCACACCCAUCAACGCCCGGGUACUACGAGCCCCAGCUUAAAACCCAAAGGACUUGACGGUGUCCCAUCCACCUAGAGGAGCCUGUUCUAUAAUCGAUAAUCCCCGCUAAACCCAACCUCCUCUUGCAAUCAGCCUGUAUACCUCCGUCGUAAGCUUACCAUAUGAAUGACCUCAGUAAGCUAAAUGAUCUUAAACCCCAAUACGUCAGGUCAAGGUGCAGCUCAUGAGAAGGCAAGCAAUGGGCUACAAUUUCUAACCUAGAACAAACGAAACACUGCAUGAAACUCAGCUGUGAAGGCGGAUUUAGUAGUAAAAAGAAAAUAGUGUGUUCUUUUUAACUAGGCCCUGGGACGUGUACACACCGCCCGUC